AUAUAUCGCUUGUUUUGCGUGAUUCAUGGUUGAUGAUGAAACGUGAAAUUAAUAUACAGAUGUGAAACGUGAAUUAAUAAAUAGUUGUCUUACUGGAUAUCUUGAGAGAUGGUUUGAUGGACCGGAUACAUAGGGAACCCUACCGUGAACGUCUGGACGAGGUAUCGAGGGAUGGUAUUUUUGGCGUUCAUACUGGACAGAGUAUGGGGACGGCCCAAUUCAUCCUCAUACCGGACGAGAUAUCGAGAGAUGGCAUUUUGACCCUCAUACUAGACGAGGUAUGGGAAUGACUGGAUAAUCGACAAGGUUAGAUAUUGGGUUCACGUGUAGGGUACAUCCCUAUGGACUCCUAGAGGUACCAGUAAACAAAUAAAAAAGGAAA
rnacentral:lncRNA from 1 species